UUGUUAUAUAAAUCGAUCAAUCAAGCUUCCAAGCUUUUUCUAUGUGACACCUCGUCAGAUAUGUUUUUUUAAUCGAUUUUUUUCCUUCAGCUGGUUUCCAUUCGGGCAUGUAUUCACUUAUCAAGGACAACUGCAGCAGUCAGAAGCUACCUGUUGGUAGGCCAACCUGUUUUUUUAUUUUUGUCUAUUGUAUAACAUGGAACCAAUGACAGGGUUAGAAAGCUGUUUUUGUUUGUUUAGGUACAUCCCUGGUGGUGACUUGUGCCUCCACAAGGGUUCAGACUGAAAACUUUUGUGUGUGCUUUGCUUGUGAAGACUCUUUCCAAGAGUCGUACCUUAAACAACAUUUGAACUCUCAAAAACAUCUCAUAUACACACUGCUGCACCUGAAUCCCUGGCGGCUGCCCUUUGCAUGGAAGAAUCUCCCAGAUAACUCAGUGCUGAGGACAAUGGCACUGGAAGAAGAGAGGAAAGGUGGAGGGACAGACAUGACUCUGAUGGUUUUUGAUAUUCCAUCGGCGAUAUAUUGUAACCUCUAUUCUGCUACUUUUGCCACAGGUAGGAGUCAGCAAAUGAGCCAUUUGUGUUUUAUUGCAUGAUGUUUCUGCUCAUUUUAAGUAAUAAUGUCAAUUCAUUUAUGUACUGUAGUAGUGAAGAGAUUGCCCUAUAAAGUCCUAUCUAGAGGCGGUAAGUGCUGGAGUAAUUUCUUAGUAUUAAAUGUCGGUUGACAGUCUUCACCUUUAGUAUAUUCAGCUAAUUAGUUUUUGUCAUUUUUGUACAGUUCCAGAGUCUGAAACGUACACCAAGCUCCAACAAAAGGAAAAGUUUCCUCUGCUUGGUGAGUUCCACUAUAUUGAAAGCUGUGUUGCAUGUAAGCAGAUGUGCACAUUAUUGUUUUUUUUUACCUCU
rnacentral:lncRNA from 1 species